rnacentral:rRNA from 1 species
UACAGAGGUCUCAAGCGUUGUUCGGAUUCAUUGGGCGUAAAGGGUGCGUAGGCGGCGCGGUAAGUCGGGUGUGAAAUCUCGGAGCUUAACUCCGAAACUGCAUUCGAUACUGCCGUGCUUGAGGACUGGAGAGGAGACUGGAAUUUACGGUGUAGCGGUGAAAUGCGUAGAUAUCGUAAGGAAGACCAGUGGCGAAGGCGGGUCUCUGGACAGUUCCUGACGCUGAGGCACGAAAGCGUGGGGAGCAAACGGG